GAUGAACGCUGGCGGCGUGCCUAAUACAUGCAAGUCGAGCGAACGGAUAAGGAGCUUGCUCCUUUGAAGUUAGCGGCGGACGGGUGGGUAACACGUGGGUAACCUACCUAUAAGACUGGAAUAACUUCGGGAAACCGGAGCUAAUGCCGGAUAACAUUUGGAACCGCAUGGUUCUAAAGUGAAAGAUGGUUUUGCUAUCACUUAUAGAUGGACCCGCGCCGUAUUAGCUAGUUGGUAAGGUAACGGCUUACCAAGGCAACGAUACGUAGCCGACCUGAGAGGGUGAUCGGCCACACUGGAACUGAGACACGGUCCAA
rnacentral:rRNA from 1 species